rnacentral:rRNA from 1 species
AAUGAACGCUGGCGGCAUGCCUAACACAUGCAAGUCGAACGAAGGCUUCGGCCUUAGUGGCGCACGGGUGCGUAACGCGUGGGAAUCUGCCCUUGGGUUCGGAAUAGCAGUUAGAAAUGACUGCUAAUACCGGAUGAUGUCGUAAGACCAAAGAUUUAUCGCCCAAGGAUGAGCCCGCGUAGGAUUAGCUAGUUGGUGGGGUAAAGGCCUACCAAGGCGACGAUCCUUAGCUGGUCUGAGAGGAUGAUCAGCCACACUGGGACUGAGACACGGCCCAGACUCCUACGGGAGGCAGCAGUGGGGAAUAUUGGACAAUGGGCGAAAGCCUGAUCCAGCAAUGCCGCGUGAGUGAUGAAGGCCUUAGGGUUGUAAAGCUCUUUUACCCGGGAUGAUAAUGACAGUACCGGGAGAAUAAGCUCCGGCUAACUUCGUG